AAGACUAUACUUUCAGGGAUCAUUUCUAUAGUUUGUGAUAAAGUUUGUGAAGGUGCAAACGUUAGUUUGCAGUCCCGUUGUCGGUGAC
rnacentral:snoRNA from 1 species